rnacentral:rRNA from 1 species
ACGUACACUCCUACGGGAGGCAGCAGUGGGGAAUAUUGCACAAUGGGCACAAGCCUGAUGCAGCCAUGCCGCGUGUAUGAAGAAGGCCUUCGGGUUGUAAAGUACUUUCAGCGGGGAGGAAGGCGAUAAGGUUAAUAACCUUGUCGAUUGACGUUACCCGCAGAAGAAGCACCGGCUAACUCCGUGCCAGCAGCCGCGGUAAUACGGAGGGUGCAAGCGUUAAUCGGAAUUACUGGGCGUAAAGCGCACGCAGGCGGUCUGUCAAGUCGGAUGUGAAAUCCCCGGGCUCAACCUGGGAACUGCAUUCGAAACUGGCAGGCUAGAGUCUUGUAGAGGGGGGUAGAAUUCCAGGUGUAGCGGUGAAAUGCGUAGAGAUCUGGAGGAAUACCGGUGGCGAAGGCGGCCCCCUGGACAAAGACUGACGCUCAGGUGCGAAAGCGUGGGGAGCAAACAGGAUUAGAUACCCCGGUAGUCCCA